rnacentral:rRNA from 1 species
AAUAUUGGACAAUGGGCGAAAGCCUGAUCCAGCCAUGCCGCGCGUGUGAAGCAGGGCUUCGUAUUGUAAAGCACUUUAAGUUGGGAGGCAGGGUUGUAGGUUAAUACCCUGCAAUAUUGACGUUACCAACAGAAUAAGCACCGGCUAACUUCGUGCCAGCUGCCGCGGUAAUACGAAGGGUGCAAGCGUUAAUCGGAAUUACUGGGCGUAAAGCGCGUGUAGGUGGGUCGUUAAGUUGGAAGUGAAAGCCCCGGGCUUAACCUGGGAAGUGCUUUCAAAACUGACGAGCUAGAGUAAGGUAGAGGGUAGUGGAAUUUCCUGUGUAGAGGUGAAAUGCGUAGAUAUAGGAAGGAACAUCAGUGGCGAAGGCGACUACCUGGACUGAUACUGACACUGAGGUGCGAAAGCGUGGGGAGCAAACAGG